AAAGUUUGAAAGAGUCAGGAAUGGGGCAGAGGGUCUGUGUCCCAGCUUGGCCCCGCUGUGCCCCUUGCUACCCUGCACAUCCCUAUGCUCCCAUGGUAGCACGCCUCUCCACCAGCCAAGCUGCAGACCCUCUGGCAGACACGCUCCUGUGUGGGUUUGUCUUCAAGACACUGGCUGACCAAGGAAGGCCAGGUGCCCACAGAAGGCUCACAGAUACUCACAUGCCUGACAGCCAAGAGCCGCAGUCCCUUGGCCCCUCCCUCCUCACCUGGGGGCCACUGGGACUUGCAGCCCUGGCUCACCAGCUGUGGGAGGCCAGCCCCUUGAUCAAGCUUAGCGCACAUGCUCAAAGACUGGAACCCCAGAGCUUCUGCAGGAUGUCUGCAUAGAUCGUGCCUGGGGCCCUAUCCUUUCCAGAGCAAUAGUAGACAAAACAUCUCAGUUUCUUGAAAGAGGCUGCUUGGCCUCCCCUGGUGAACAGUCCUGGAUACAUUGUUUUGCAAAGCUGAAAUGUAAGUUUUCCAAGAUCCACCUUUGGUAAAGAAAAAAAUAAGUACAACAAGUGUCAUGAGGGCUUUGUUCUAUCUGGAGCAAGACAAUGUAACAAAAUACAUUCCUCAGGAACUUUCUCCCACAAUUAGGGAAACACUGUGUAUCACGGAGGCAGAAUCAGAAUUCAGUGGGGCAAUAGCACACACCCAACCAUCUAUUUGGUUUCCCAGUCGAUGCUAUCACUGCUGUGCUGGAGAACCUCCAAGACAAGCUGAGAUAAACUAGAAAAUCAGGUAAAACAGGAGUCAAAGAACUGCGAGCAGAAACAUCCUUUCUGGAUGACUUGAUCCAUUUCCCAUCUCCUAGCCACAAAAUCCAGAAAAUAAUAAGAAACCUGAAAAUUAACACAUUGGCUAGGCAUCUUAAUCGCUCACCUAACGGGAGAUACCCACCUGGUGGUUCACCCAUCCUAGAAUCAGAAUUCAGCCAGCUACGCUCGUGACUCCUGGGACUGUACGUGAUACCUCCGAGCACAUAUACUUCUUUUUGUCAAGAUUUAUUUAUUUGUAAGUCAGAGUGACACAGAGAGAGGAGAAGCACAGAGAGGUCUUCCAUCCUCUGGUUCACUCCUGAAUUGGCCGCAACGGCUGGAACUUCACCAAUCCGAAGCCGGUAGCUUCUUCCAGGUCUCCCACACAGGUGCAGGGGCCCAAGGACUUGGGCUAUCUUCUUACUGCUUUCCUAGGCCACAGCAGUGAGCUGGAUCAGAAUGGAGCAGCCAGGUAUCAAACCAGCGCCCAUAUGGGUUGCCGGCACUUUAGACCAGGGCAGUAACCCACUAUGCCACAGUGCCAGCCCCUAUACCUUUUACAAUAUACAAUUUGAAGUACACUUAUAACAUACAAAAUACAAUGUAUAAUACUUACAAAAACAAUUUAUAACAAAAUAUAGCAUUUCAUUGGUAAGAUACAAUAUAAUAUACGAUUUGUACUUCCUUCCAUCUAGGUCCUAAAGGCCCGAGUGUCCCUGACAUGUGGCCGGGACCUGUGGCCAACAGAAGAUCAGGGAGACUAAAAUACAACUCUUGAAAACUCAGUGGACCUGACAAAACAUGUAUCCCCAGGAAACAAGGAAAAAAAAAAAGAAAAGACUCAAGGGACUUAACCACAGAAAUGACAGAGAGUACACUACUACCAACCUUACCAAAAACAUAAUAUAUAUAUAUAUAUAUGUGUGUGUGUGUGUGUAUAUAUAUAUAUAUAUAUAUAUAAAAGAACACUAUGGAAACACUAAGGCACAAGAAUUUGGUGACCCUAGGUACUCUUAACACUUUAUAAGCAUUCAACCACCUACCUAAAAACUUUUCAUAACAAAAUAAAUAGCUUUCGGGGCCACCGUUGUGGGUCAGUAGGUUAAUCCUCUGCCUGCAGCACCUGUAUCCCAUAUGGGUGCCGGUUCUAGUCCCAGCUGCUCCUCUUCUGAUCCAGCUCUCUGCUAUGGCCUGGGAAAGCAGGGGAAGAUGGCUCAAGUCCUUGGGCCCCUGCAGUCAUGCGGGAGCCAGGAAGAAGCUCCUGGCUCCUGGCUUCAGAUCAGCACAGCUCCAGCCAUUGCGGCCAUCUGGGGAGUGAACCAGUGGAUGGAAGGCCUUUCUCUCUGUCUCUCUCUCUCUCGCUGUCUGUAACUCUGUCUCUCAAGUAAAUACAUACAUACAUACAAUCUAAAAAAUAAAUAGCUUUCUACCAUUUUACUCUGUGGAUGCAGCAGAAUUUGCUACUUACUUAUAUAUUAUUCUUUUCCAUGUAUAUAUUAUUCCUAACUUCAUUUUUCCUCCCUCAUCAGAAAGGAAGACAUGCUCAGUUUUGGAAAAACUGUAAAUCACAAUCAUUCAAAAAGGAGAGGAUAAAAGCCACCAUAACCCCUUCACUAGAAUGAGCAUGCUAACAUGGAGGAUUACCUUCUGUGCAUUUAUCCCAUUCUUCAUUACAACUAAGGAAUUAUUGGCUGACAUUGACCACCCAAUCCAGGACCCCCCAGGGAAGAAGAAAUGGGAUCCAGGAAGGAAAGAGAGGAAGCAGAAGGAAUCCCAGGAUGAAGCUGAAGAAAGAGGUGGUGGAGUGAGUGGCUGGUGGGCUGUGAAACUCGGGAAAACAGUCUCUCAGGCCAGAGAAUAUUAAUGCAGAAGGGAGGAAGAUUCUGAGUGCCAGCAGGGAUGUCACAAAGAAAACAAACAAAAGUAUCCUACAGCUUCCUGAGAAGGCACCUGAGAAGAGAUGAGAAGAUGGCCCAAGUGCUUUGGCUGCGGCCACCCACACAGAAGACCAGGAGGGAGUACCUGGCUCUGGCCUGGCACAGAACUGGCUCCUGUGGCCAUUCAGAUAGUGAACCAGCACAGACAAGAUCUCUCUUUGCGUCACUUCAAGCAGGAAGAAGCUUGAUACUUUGGCUUUCUGAACGACUCCACAGAGGUCAUUACCCACAGCAAACUUUGGCACUGCAGGACCACCUUUCUCACAAGAUUUCAUCUCUUGCACCUGACAACACUUUUCCAUUAAUUGGAGGGUGAAGUGCCAAGUGUUUCUGCACACCCCAUGCUCCUUUAGAAUACUGCCAAGCAAAGAAAUUAACAGGGAGCAUGCCAGCUGCCCCUGGAUCUCACUGCGUAUAUAUGUGACAGGACCGAGUCAAGGCAUCCCAUAUCAGAUCAUCAAUUAGCUGUAGAGGUUGGGCGAGGGGCGGCUUUAACAACUUGGCAAUCUUCCUGAAGCACAGUUACAGUGAUGUAAAGAAAUAUCAGAGCCUGGGUGAAUUGUAAGAUCAUUCCAGAUCCUCUCCUGAUGGCUCAUCCCUGAGGCUUCAUCCACUGACAAAACUUCGUAUAGAGCUCAGGUGUUGAUAUCAGUUUUCAUUGAGAUUUCUCAAAAUGCUAAUUUUCUAUUGCAUAGUUUUCUCUUAAACAGAUGUUAGAAGACAGUUGCUGAUCUGUUCAGAUGAUGUGGAAGAAAAGAGAAAUUAUGUGUUAACCAUUGUUUGAAAUAAACACUAGACAUGACUCUGUAACUUCUAAUGUCUGCUAAUUCUAUUUACAAGCUAAUGACUACUAAUUGCAUUUGUUAUUGCUCAAAGACGAUCAAUACUGAAGAUGUUAGACAAAGUUAGAAACAAAAGAAAGUGAAUAUUUCAUUCAGAAUUCAUUCAUCCAAACAUAUACUUGAAGUUAUGCUUUGCAGGUCAGUCCUAGUUACCUAUCAAUAACCAGAUAUGUGCAUGCUCUAUUAAAAAACUGCUUUUCCUUGUGAUACUAUGACAAUGGUUGCUAAGACACUCCGAAACUCCUUCCAAAAUUAUUAAAAGAUUGUGUGUGUGUGUGUGUGUUUUA